CGAAAAAUAACGAUACGGGACUCAUCCGAGGCCCCGUAAUCGGAAUGAGUACACUCUAAACCCUUUAACGAGGAUCAAUUGGAGGGCAAGUCUGGUGCCAGCAGCCGCGGUAAUUCCAGCUCCAAUAGCGUAUAUUAAAGUUGUUGCGGUUAAAAAGCUCGUAGUCGAAUUUGUGUCCCGCGCCGCCGGUUCAUCGCUCGCGGUGUCAACUGGCGUGUCCGCGGGACGUCCUGCCGGUGGGCUUAGCCCCUUCGGGGCGGCCCAAUCUCAAUCCCACCGCGGUGCUCUUCACUGAGUGUCGAGGUGGGCCGGCACGUUUACUUUGAACAAAUUAGAGUGCUUAAAGCAGGCUAAAACAUCGCCUGAAUACUGUGUGCAUGGAAUAAUGGAAUAGGACCUCGGUUCUAUUUUGUUGGUUUUCGGAACCCCGAGGUAAUGAUUAAUAGGAACGGAUGGGGGCAUUCGUAUUGCGACGCUAGAGGUGAAAUUCUUGGAUCGUCGCAAGACGGACAGAAGCGAAAGCAUUUGCCAAAAACGUUUUCAUUGAUCAAGAACGAAAGUUAGAGGUUCGAAGGCGAUCAGAUACCGCCCUAGUUCUAACCAUAAACGAUGCCAGCUAGCGAUCCGCCGACGUUCCUCCGAUGACUCGGCGGGCAGCUUCCGGGAAACCAAAGCUUUUGGGUUCCGGGGGAAGUAUGGUUGCAAAGCUGAAACUUAAAGGAAUUGACGGAAGGGCACCACCAGGAGUGGAGCCUGCGGCUUAAUUUGACUCAACACGGGAAACCUCACCAGGCCCGGACACCGGAAGGAUUGACAGAUUGAGAG
rnacentral:rRNA from 9 species